UACGUAGGGUGCGAGCGUUGUCCGGAAUUACUGGGCGUAAAGAGCUCGUAGGUGGUUUGUCGCGUUGUUCGUGAAAACUCAGGGCUUAACCCUGGGCGUGCGGGCGAUACGGGCAGACUGGAGUACUGCAGGGGAGACUGGAAUUCCUGGUGUAGCGGUGGAAUGCGCAGAUAUCAGGAGGAACACCGGUGGCGAAGGCGGGUCUCUGGGCAGUAACUGACGCUGAGGAGCGAAAGCGUGGGGAGCGAACAGG
rnacentral:rRNA from 1 species